UACGUAGGGGGCAAGCGUUGUCCGGAUUUAUUGGGCGUAAAGAGCGUGUAGGCGGCCAGACAGGUCCGUUGUGAAAACUUGAGGCUCAACCUCGAGACGCCGAUGGAAACCGUCUGGCUAGAGUCCGGAAGAGGAGAGUGGAAUUCCUGGUGUAGCGGUGAAAUGCGCAGAUAUCAGGAAGAACACCCGUGGCUAAGGCGGCUCUCUAGUACGGUACUGACGCUGAGACGCGAAAGCGUGGGGAGCGAACCGG
rnacentral:rRNA from 1 species